ACAAAAAUUGAGUGAUGGUUACUCUUCGGGCUCAUAAUCCGAUUUUUGAGGGUUCGAUUCCCUAUUUUGUCC
rnacentral:tRNA from 1 species